rnacentral:rRNA from 1 species
GACGAACGCUGGCGGCGUGCUUAACACAUGCAAGUCGAACGGAAAGGCCCUGCUUUUGUGGGGUGCUCGAGUGGCGAACGGGUGCGUAACACGUGAGUAACCUGCCCUUGACUUUGGGAUAACUUCAGGAAACUGGGGCUAAUACCGGAUAGGAGCUCCUGCUGCAUGGUGGGGGUUGGAAAGUUUCGGCGGUUGGGGAUGGACUCGCGGCUUAUCAGCUUGUUGGUGGGGUAGUGGCUUACCAAGGCUUUGACGGGUAGCCGGCCUGAGAGGGUGACCGGCCACAUUGGGACUGAGAUACGGCCCAGACUCCUACGGGAGGCAGCAGUGGGGAAUAUUGCACAAUGGGCGGAAGCCUGAUGCAGCAACGCCGCGGGCGGGAUGACGGCCUUCGGGUUGUAAACCGCUUUCGCCUGUGACGAAGCGUGAGUGACGGUAAUGGGUAAAGAAGCACCGGCUAACUACGUG